AGGAAUUUUGAGAGUGAAACAAAUCAAUAAAGACUGGUUCUUUGUAGAACAUAACUCACCGUUAUCCCUGCCCCUUUCUCUGAUUUGAUGUCUCUCUUCUCUGCUGUUGUCUGUGUACCAGCCAUAGGGAAAAGCUGGAAACCCCACAGAACUACCUUUCUUCAGUGGAUAGAGCGGCUGACUUAGUGGCUUCAAGAGCCUGUACACUGACUACAUUAAGCGACCUGCGGAAGGGAGAAAACUCUUUCCAGAAGUAGCCUGUGGACUCCCUUUGGCCAGCGUGGGCUCACACCGCCAUGCGUUAGAUGCAAGAGAGGCUGGUG